GUCAAAGCUGUAACACAUACACGGACAUUCAUUCCAGUCAUUUACGAUUGCACGUUUAUAGUUUCAAAGAGUGAGCCUUCACCAAUGUUGAGAAUACUUAAAGGCAUUCCUUAUACGGUGAAAGUUCAAGUUAAGCGCCACAAAAUGGAGGAACUUCUGGAAACACCUGAUGGCAUUGCACAGUGGUGCAGAGACACUUGUGUUGCCAAGGGAUCUGUGUUUUCUCACCAAUCAGGAUGCUUUACUGGAGAAAUAUAAUACUACAGACAUAUUCAGUGAACUCGAACUUCAAGAAAUUCGCCGACCUAAAAGCUCUAUAAUGGUAACUUGACAUGUUUGGUGUUUGGUUUGAGAAAAAGUUUUACCAAACAGAGGAAAACUUACUAAUUCUGACUUGGUGCUGUGACUAUGAACAGGUUAUUCUAAGAGGCUUCUUCAGAAAUGAGCAAAAAUUCACCAUUAUUUAGUGUUGAUCACAUUACAUGUCUCUAUCUCAUUAUGCUACAUAUGUAUAUACGUCUUUCUUUAUCCCUAGGUUUUUGCUUUGAAAAUGCAAGAUUUGUUGAGUAGAAUAAUGUUAUUGAUAUCCAAGCUAGUUGACUUCCUCUGGCAUGUAUUAUUUGAG